GUGAAUCAUCAAAUUUUUGAACGCAAAUUGCACUCCCUGGUAUUCCGGAGAGCAUGCCUGUUUGAGGGUCAGUUUAAAUAAAAAUCGGUGUGGUUGCUGCCUUCCGUGGUGACGCACCGGAUUUGGGUCGUCUUGCUUUCGGUUAAGUGACCUAAAAUUUUGCAUGAUUUUUUUCGAACGUAUUUAAAUGAUUUUACGUCCGCUUGCGUUUUUGAAUACUUGGUGUGGCU
rnacentral:misc_RNA from 1 species